ensembl:snRNA U6 U6 spliceosomal RNA
GUGCUCCCUUCAGGAGCACAGACACUAAAAUUGGAAUAAUACAGAGAAGAUGAGCAUGACCCCUUGUCAAGGAUGAUACAAAAGUUCAAAAAAGGUUCCAUAUUUUU